rnacentral:tRNA from 1 species
GGGGAUGCAGCUCAGCGGCAGAGCGCUGGCUUCACAUGUGGCAGGUGCUGGGUUCAAUCCCCAGCAUCUCCA